UACGGAGGGUGCAAGCGUUACCCGGAGUUACUGGGCGUAAAGGGUGUGUAGGCGGUUGCUUAAGUUUGGUGUGAAAUCUCCCGGCUCAACCGGGAGGGUGCGCCGAAUACUGAGUGACUAGAGUGCGGGAGAGGAAAGUGGAAUUCCUGGUGUAGCGAUGAAAUGCGUAGAUAUCAGGAGGAACACCGGUGGUGUAGACGGCUUUCUGGACCGUAACUGACGCUGAGACACGAAAGCGUGGGUAGCAAACAGG
rnacentral:rRNA from 1 species